UUACUAUUUUCUGUUCUGCUGCGUCGCGCAAGUUUUCAUCAGAUUGUAUUUUCGUUCUGUACCUGAUCUUGAAGCUUCCAGACUCAGCGUUGAUAGUGUCCAGACAGACUCGGCCUCUCCUCCUUUACACCCGACUACCGCCCAGCCCUCCCUCCCAAUUAUUUCUCAAUCCAAAACUCUAGCUUCGCCCCCUAUCGCUUCUUCAUCUCAGGUUCUCUCAUCACUUUCAUGAUUCAUUCAUUGAAUUUUUUGAUUAGGUUUUUCGUUUCACUUGAUUUCAGCUGAUUCGGGCUUUGUCUCUUUGCAGUCUGAGACCUCAAGGAUUGAUUCCACUGGUUUCUAAGUCUGAUACGAGAUGCUCUUGCAUCUUCCACUGAAUUUGACAAUGAUCGAGUGUAGGAAUAUAUUCGGCAAGGAAGAGCUUCUUUGGAAUUGCACCAUCAAAAUCAAUCUGAUAGUGAUACCAUUCCUCCUCAUUUUUCUAAUUAUUGAUUCUGUGAAAAGAAUUUGGUUCUGCUGUUUCCGUAGUUUUCUUGAAGCUCACUUCCAGAAUCUCUAGAGACAUCGAGAAACCUUGACACUUUGGAAGUCAUUAGCCAAAACAGUGCCUAUAUGUUGUUCUACCUUUCAGCCCCUCCAGAAAUAAUCCUUAUCCCUUCCAUUUCAGAAAGGUCAUCAUUACAUUAAAUGGUGGUAAGUUUGCACAGUAUACUGAUUAAUUUUGCAAUCUGCACGAUAGCUGAUGUCUUAUUACUUCCCUCUUUCUUCCUGCUUUUUUAUUUUAUUUUAUUUUAUUUUAUUCAAGUUUGCUUCUUUAUCCUUGCAUCUGCUAUUAUCUAGAAUAAUAUGUCGUAUUACUAAAUUGUAUGCAAAUCUUUGAUAGAUAAAAGAACCGUCAGAGCAUUUCUGAUUUUGGCAUACUUGAUAAAGGACAAAAGAAAACACUAUGGUAGGGUACGUGGUUCAUAUACUUGAAACACUGUUUUCUGCAACA